CAAGUAAUUCUCAAAUAACAUCUGCAUGAUAACACUGACUGGUAAUAGGAUAUAGAUUGUUCACUAUUAAAAAAAGUCCUUGAACUGUACAAUGUAUUAAGUAAUGUAAUUAUGCUGGAGAUAACAGACUGAUGAGAAUAUAGGGAGUGAUGAGAUUUUUGACUGAGAUGAAAUAUAGAUUAUUACUGCAUUUGUGAAGUACAGGACAAGGGAAAGGCGGGGGGAAAUAAAGACAAGAGUGCUGUUACAGUAGAGCAAAUAUGAGAAAAAGGAAAAUGUAUUGGAAAAUAUUCAGCUACAGAAGUGUGACAUAUUUUCAUGGGACUUACCUGAAUGCACUGCUUUUUAUAUUCUUAGAUCUGGCAAAUUAGUUCCUAGGAGACACAGAAGGAAAUGCAUUUAGAUUCUCAUGACAGAGACAAAGAGUACAAAAAACAGCUCAGGACUACAAGACCCACUGAGGGAGAAUAAGACAUCUAAAAAAUGAACCAGCUGCCACAUAAAGAGAUAUUCAUAACAAUGAAAGCUUCAACAUCAUGUUUGGACCAAAAGCCAGUGAAGAAAGCACCUGACAGACUCAGUCAACUGAAGGUGGUGACCAACUUCAGAGAAAAAUUAUGCAAAGGCAAAAAGCUGGGCACAUGGUUUCUCCCUCCCUCUCAGAAAAAACAAACAAACAAAACCAAACAACAGUGUUUCCAGGACUGCUGCCUAUGAAGCCACAUUGGGACACAGCAAACUAUGUGAGAAUUGGAGUCUGGAUGACUUUGUGGGUCAUGCUUACAAGCCCAUGCACUAAUAAGCAGAAAUGACUGAAGAACCAAAGGUAACUAAUGAGACUCUUGGGAAACAGAGGUGUGUUGGUGUUCAGUCACAGCCUCCUGAGGACGUCCCAAAAGAUAGCCCUGCUCAUCAACCCCCACGUCACCAUGCUGGAAGGCAUGCAGACACGGAGAAAGAGAAAGGCCAAAUCAUAAGCUGUGGGAGAAAAACAGUGUGGACAAGCAGGUAAGCACAAAAAAAUGGUGAAACAAUCUCACAGUCACAUGUAUAACGUCACCCUUCCCCAGGGGAUGGACUGGUAUCACACUAACGAAGAGGAGUUUGAAGGACGGCAUUGAAGUCACUUCCUGUGUGUUUAGAGAUUGGCAUGCCCACACAUAGUUAAGAUGAGCUUGUUGGACAAAACAAGAGGUUGGCAAUGGGGCCCGGUGUCAUCGACUGGAUAGAAACACCCCGAUACUGACUAGCAGAGGGGUAAGGGAGGGCCUUAAGACUGAGGACAAGCAUACAGUGAAGGGACACCAAGGGAAGGGGGAC
rnacentral:lncRNA from 1 species